UAGCAAUCAGCGAGACUCCGUGGGUGUAGGACCCUCCGAGCCAGGUGCGGGAUAUAAUCUUGUGGUGUGCCAUUUUUUAAGCCCAUCGGAAAAGCGCCGUAUUCGGGUGGGAGUGACCCGAUUUUCCAGGUGCCAUCUGUCACCCUUUUCUUUGACUCAGAAAGGGAACUUGCUGACCCCUUGCGCUUCCCAAGUGAGGCAAUGCCUCGCCCUGCUUCGGCUCACGCACAGUGCGCCCACCCACUGACCUGCGCCCACUGUCUGGCACUCGCUAGUGAGAUGAACCCGGUACCUCAGAUGGAAAUGCAGAAAUCACCCGUCUUCUGCGUCGCUCAGGCUGGGAGCUGUAGACCAGAGCUGUUCCUAUUCGGCCAUCUUCUGGUGCUACAUUUUAAAAGAGAAAGAAAAACUACAUAUACAGUAAGACAUUCUGUGCUGGGAGGAGAGCAGAGGAUCCAGGGAGCAGAUUGCAGGGAGCUUCACUGAAGCAAGAUGACCGUGAUGCUGGAGAAGAGCCCUUGAGAUGGAACAGCCUCAGGUACUGAGGAGUCCUUGUGGAAUUCCCCUUUGGAGUUGAGAGUUUCACAAGUUGUACAAUCACAAGGAGGGCACCUGUCUCUAAAUUCUAUGGCAGUACUGGCUGUGCCUGAGAAACCUCCUGCCACUCAAGCCCAGCAAGGUUCUUGGGAGAACAGUCCAGCAGAAUCAGUUAUCAAGUAAAAGUCACAACCAUAAGUUCAAUGCCACUGAUUCAUGCAACAGGUAGAACUAUCACAAGUCCCAUCAUCAUCUCCUCCUCUUCUGUGCUUCCUGACAGGACACAGGCAGGUUACUGAGUAGAUGGAUUGACCAGAGCUUCCUAUAAUACCAAGGAAAGUUUCACGGAGAACAUCUGGAAUUAAGUCAACUUGAGUGGAUUGAAGGAUGCAAAGUAUUUUUCCUGGGUGUGUCUGUCAGGGCGUUGCCAAAGGAGAUCAACAUUUGAGUCAGUGGCCCGGAAGAGGCAGACCCACCCUCUAUCUGGGUAGGCACCAUCUAAUCAGUUGCCAGUGUGGCUGGAAUAAAGCAGGCAGAAGAACAUGGAAGGACUUGACUUGCUGUCUUCUGGCCUUCAUCUUUCUCCUGUGGUGGAUGCUUCCUGCCCUUGAACCUUAGACUCCAGGUUCUUCAGCUUUUGGACUCUUGGACUUACACCAGUAAUUUGCCAGGGGCUGUCUCUCUAGCAUCCUUGCUCCUCAGCUUGCAGACAGCCUAUUGUGGGACUUCAAUUUGUGAUUGCAUGAGUCAAUACUUCUUAAUAAAUUCUCCUCCAUAUAUACAUCUGUCCUGUUUUUUCUGUUCCUUUAGAGAACCCUAAUUAAUACAGAUUUAUUCUCUUCCAGAUUCUUUUUAGAAAAAUUACAGAGAAUAUUGGAUU
rnacentral:lncRNA from 1 species